CUUGAUGGACAUGAGUUUGGGUAGACUCCGGGAGUUGGUGAUAGACAGGGAGGCCUGGCGUGCUGCAAUUCAUGGGGUUGCAAAGAGUCGGACACGACUGAGCAACUGAACUGAACUGAAUGUGCCUUUCUGCUUAAAUUCCAAGGAUUUUCCACCCACCCAGAAAAACCCCUGAUCCCAGACAGCAGUGUGUGCUCUGGCCCCUGCCUACCAUCCCACCCUGGGCUCUACCCUCGCCCCUGCCCCCUCUUUCCCAUCCCAGCACUCUCAUGCCCGUCACCUUCCAUUCGUGAAACACAGCAGGCUCAUUCUCUUCACAUGGUAAUUGCAUUUGCUGUUCCCCCUGGCCUUAAUGCUGUUCCUUGUUCUUCCAUGUGGCUGGCUCCUUAAGAUUUCUGCUCAGAGAAGCUGCCCCAUCCUCCACUAUCUAGCUGCCCCCCUCAGGUCACCCUGCUUCUUCCCUGCAUGUCACUGACCACACUCAUUACCUUGUGGGUUUUCUUGUGUUACCUGUGUCCCACCACCUUGAAAGCAGAGACCUUGCGCAGGGCCCGCACAGGUAGCAGGAACCCCUGGUGCUGGUUGAAUGGCAGCACCAUUCAAGAAGAAGGCCUGGGCGUGUAAAUGACACUGCAGGUCAGGAAGGAGAGUUGCUGCGGCCUCAAGUCAGGGAUGUUGUCUGGAAAGAGAAGGAGUUUUGGUGAUUAGGGGCAGAUAGCCGGGGCUUUGCCAAGUCAAGACACAGCACUUGCACACAGGUUGGGGAGCAGGACCCAGCACAGCUUGUUUGGAGACCAGCUAUCGCAGCUGCCCUUAUUGAGCACCAGCUGUAUGCCGGUAGUGUUGAGGUGACUGGAAUGUGCCUUUCUGCCCUCAAGGGGUUUGCAGUCCACUCUAGUGAUGAACUGUGCAGACAACAAUGUACUGUUGGACAGGGAAGCAAGGAAGUGGCAUGGUUACCCAAGGAAGAGCCAUCCAGGCCAAGGGCACAACCAGUGCAAAGGCCCAGAGGUAGGAGCGUGCUGGUCUGCCUGCUCAAAGCAUGGCCAGGAGGCCUGUGGCUGGGGGGGAGUGGAGGGGAGGUCAAGGUGUUAGUGGGGAGAGCAGAGAUGUGGGAGUGGGGCAGCAGCUCAGACCGCGUCAGACCUUCUAAGGGUUUCGGCCUUCACGGUGAGAGAGAUGAAGAGCCACUGAGGAGUUCUGAGGAGAGGGGACAUGAUCUGCCUUAGCUCUUGGAACAGUUUUUUGUGACCAGUGAGUAGAGAUGGCCAAGGAGGGGAGACCAGCAAUGAGGGGGCCAGGACAGCAGUGGAGGAUGGCAUGGGCCGUGGGGUAGCUUAUGCCAGAUUGCCUGGGUCCCAUUCGCAGCCCCGUGACCUUGGGCAGAUCUCCACCAGAGCUCCAUGCCCUCACCUCUUCUGUUGUAUUGGCUGGAUUCAGCUGGAGAAGCCAGACCCAUAGGAGCCACUGUGUAUUACAUUUCAUGCAAGGAACUGGCUUAUGCAAUUGUGGGCCAGUCAGGCAAGUCCAAAACCCAAGAGCAGGCUGGGGUUGCAGUCCACAGGUGAAAUUUCUUCUGCAGUAACACCUCAGCUCUGCCCAUUAAAGCAUUUCAGCUGAGGGACCCAGGGCCCCUCAGAGUAUCAAGUGUAACAUCUGUGAAAGCCGGCUAAUGUUGAACCUGAUCACCCCUGCAUAAUACCUCCUGAGCCAUUCCUGCAUGAGUGUGUGGUUGGAUAACUGGGGAUCGUAGCCUAGCCCGAGUGAUGGGCACGCCCUUGAAAAUGGAGUAGCGGCCACCUGCAGGAACGUGCAGAAGGUUCGAGGGUGUGAUGCAGUUAGAGGGCUUUGUGCCGUGCCCAGCAGUAGGCUGGGCCAGUCGGUGAUUGGCCUCCCCCAGGUGAGCACUGCUGCAGGAGAGCCCCAUCACCCAACCUCCUCCACCCUCCCCCUCCCCCCCCACACCUGAGAGCAGGGCGUUCUCUUCAGACCUGAAAAGAUGGACUGAGGCCCCAACCCUUCUAGUAGGUUGCAUGGCUCCAGUUCCGGUGGCUAGGAAGUUCCACCAGGGGGCGCAGGCGUCCAUGGAUCCUCUGGGAUCAUCCUGGCCCUGGGAUUGUGUCUGAGGCCGCAUCCCACCCCAGAGUCCUGUGAUGAGCUGCUGCUCAUUUAAAUGCAAAUGAGGUUGCUCAAGUGUAUUGCAAGUUUGUUCUUUUAGGUCAGUGUUGAUGCUCCUCGUGAAAUCCUGUUUACUUUAUGCUUUUCCUUGGAACCUUGGCAAGCUCACCCAGCUUCCAUUUUAGUACCACACAGGUUGCAUCACUGGAUGGAGUUCACGAGAUCAGUAUUACUGUAGUAUGAUGACAGAGAAGUGUGUCACCUGGACUUCAGAAUUUCUGUUUUGGUGUCAGACGGGGUCUGAGCUCCUGCUCUGCCACGUGUUGGCUCUGUGACUGGCAAGCUGCUUGACCUCCGACCUCAUGCCUCCAUAUGGAAAAUGGGGGUAAAAAUAGUGCCUGCCUCUAUGAAUGGUAAGGAUUGAACUAGCAGGGGGUGGCGCAUAGCAUGCUCCCAAUGAUAGCAGCCGCCAUGGUUGUUCUUUUAAUUAUUGAUAGGUUCAGAAAGGAAGGGGACUUGAGAGUUAAAAAGAACUGGCUUGAAGCAUAAUUUUCAUUCUGUGAGCCAAGGCCCUGGCCUCAUAGGAGACAGAAUCUAGUCUCAGAAUAUUCUGUAGAGUUAAGACAGGCUCUGGAGCCGGAACACCUAGUUUUGUGUCCCAGCUCUGCCAGCCACGUGGUCUUGGGCAAGUCCUAACUUCCCUGUGCCUCAGUUUGCUCAUCUAUGAAAUGAGUAUAAUGAAAGCACUUCAACAGGUCGUCUGAGGCUUGGAUAGGAGUUAAUACAUGGGAAGUGACUGGUGCAAGAGACACCAAGGGUUAAGCCAUUUCUGAGUAGAAGCAGCUCUUAAACAGGAGGGACUACUGACUUUGGCAUUUACGUCCUGCAGGAGAGACUCCUUUCAGAGGGGGAAGGCUGUGUGUGCACCAUCUCAUGGUUGCCAGCCAGCCUCCUGAUAACCUGGGCAGGUGGUCUUAUCCCCCUUUUAUAGGCCAGGGGAGGUAGGUCCAGGUCACCAAGGUCACCUAGCCAAGUAGACAGGAUUCAAAUCUGGUUCUUCCGAUUCAAACCUCUUUCCACUGAAGUCCGUUCCUUCCUGAGACCUGAGGAAUCCAGAGAGAGCAGGACUGGGCUCCGGAGACCUCUGGCAGGAGUUCCACAGACUGGGAGAGGGCCUGCCCCAAGAGAGCUCCCAACCCCACUGCGGUAUCUAUAGAGGGAACCCAUUGGGCACAAGAGAUUCUUCUUGAGGUAAAGGGUCCCUUUGCAGGCUGUGACUAGUAUCACUUCAUUUCUCUUUGUAUGAAUUUGGUCUUUAAUAAGGAGAAGGAAAUGGCACCCCACUCCAGUACUCUUGCCUGAAAAAUCCCAUGGAUGGAGGAGACUGGUAGGCUACAGUCCAUGGGGUCGCAAAGAGUCGGACACGACUGAGCGACUUCACUUUCAUGGUGUAUUUGGCUUAAAGCAAAACCUGCCUGUAGGUUCUGACUACUAUAAAAAGGUAGUCUGCCCUCCUUUGACAGAGGAAGUGACUAAGAGAGGGGCCACUGCCUUCCCAAGGGGAGGGGCAGGCAGAACCUGGCUUCCUGCUCAUGGCACUCCCACCAAAUCCUGGAAUGAGGCAGGGGUGUGAGGAGGGCCAGGGUGAAGCAGAGAAAGCAGGUCUGUAAAAGCCUCUGGUGCCUCGUCUUCCCCUGGGACAAAUGUACCCCCAGCCCACCCCAGGACGCAGAGUAGGGCCAGCCUCUCUCAGACCCCGGCCGGCCCUGCUUACCAGCCACAGACGGAGAGGGGCAGAGACAAAGCAGAUGACUGCAGCUUUCAGUCCUCCCCUGGAGGCUUUCAUUUCUUUUAAGUGAUUACUGGUUCCUGGCCUCAUGGAGGUCACAGCUCAACUGAGAAAGCAGGAUGUGCUGGGGAUUCAUUGAUGAAUGAGGGCCAGGAUGGGCUGUGAUGUAUGGGAGUCAAACAGAAGGGGCUGAGGUGGGUGGGGGGGGGCACCAGCCAAGAAGGGAGGGGCUGGAGAUGCUUGCUGGAGGAUGGAAGGGGUGGGUAUGAGCAGAGAGGGGGCCAGACACUCCUGGUAGAAGAGCUCGGUCUGAGCAAGGACUCUGGGUCUGGGAUGUGUUUGAAAGUUUGAGGGAAGAAGAGGUUGUCUAGCCUGGCAGACAUGAAGGGCUAGGAAGAGGGGGAGGGCAGGAGAUGCGUCUGGAAAGGAAACCUGGGAGAGUGUAUCAGCAAGCCUUUUCCAAAGCUUUCUUUUCUGCCCAAGCCAUCAACCCUCAGGGAGAAAGGCCCAGGCUGCUUGGAGAACACGGCCAAGACAUUCCUGGCACCCUCCGACGGCCUGUUCCAAGAGUGAACGUGUCUCGUGAAGGCAUUGCCUUCUGGCGCAUCUCACCCGGGCUGGUGUUUUUAAAUAAUUUUUAUUUGUGUGGCUCUGGGUCCCCAGCCUGAUGUCACCCCUGGAGUUCAAAGCCAACUAAUUGGGAAUGAAGGAGGCUGAUUGGUUUGGCAGUUCCACCGCCAGCCUAUGUGGCAGUGAUGAUGGAGAAAGUGUGUGUCUGGCCAUAGGCAGUGUGGUCCCACUGCCCUACUGGCCUGGACACACGGAGCAGGGGUGGGGGAGGGGAGGGCUCCCCGAAUCCUGGGAGUACAUAUCUCACACCUGGGAAGUGAGGCAACUCGAGGGUGGGUAGCCUUGAUCCCCUCCAUCCUGCUUGCUCAGCUUCUUUCUGGACCUCGGGCCUGUCAGCUGACCUCUCCUGCUGGGGUGAUGGGAAGAUGGUCUGGAAGGGGACAGCAUGUGCUAAGGCCCAGGGGUGCGCUGAGAGUCCUGAGCCUGCUUGUUGAAGCACAGAUCCUCAGACCCAGAUCUACCAAACAAGCAGCUCUAGGGAUGGCACCCAGAAACACCAGCCAGCUUUGAUGGGCUCCCCAGAAACAGAAAUGUGGCGUGUGUAACUCAGUUGGCUCGUGACAUUUUUAUAAUUGGUCAGUCCUGAAAUGUGGCGGCAAAGAAAAAUUUUCCAGCGUUUCAGCGAAACUUAGACUUUUGCGAGGAAAAAAAGUGUUUUUCCCCAA